AAAACAUUUUUUUUUUUGCCUAAAAUCUAGCUGACGAAGAAUUUGUGGCUGAAUAAUUUGUUUCGUUUUUGCUAUUAGAGUCGUAAUCAAUUGAUUGGUUUUGGGAAUAUCCAAAGGAUACAAUACAGUCACGACGAGCUUAGCAGCAUGAAUUUGUGUAUUCAAAGUCCCGUGAAGUGUGAUGGUCGAAGUUCCUUGUUCUCCGCACUGAAGACUUCGAAUUUCAGUGAGGAGAGGCUUACUACAUCAAGGUUCUGGGGGUUUCAUGGUCGAAAUCGGAAGAAGAAUCGUAUGUUUGCAGUGAGAUCUGUUUCUUCAAGUGCGGUAGGUACCGUAGACGAGACGAAGAGAGAUGAAAUUAGUGGAGGAGAGAGUCGUGUGUACGACGCCAUUGUCAUCGGCUCCGGGAUUGGAGGAUUGGUCGCUGCGACUCAGCUUGCUGUUAAAGAAGCUAGGGUUUUAGUUCUCGAGAAAUAUCUGAUUCCUGGUGGGAGCUCUGGUUAUUACGAAAGAGAUGGAUAUACUUUCGAUGUUGGCUCUUCUGUGAUGUUUGGUUUCAGCGAUAAGGGGAAUCUAAACUUGAUAACUCAGGCUUUGAAGGCAGUUGGUCGUAAGAUGGAGGUUAUACCUGAUCCUACCACUGUCCAUUUCCAUCUUCCCAAUAACCUUUCUGUUCAGAUUCAUAGAGAAUACGAUGAUUUCAUCGCUGAACUUACGAGCAAGUUUCCCCACGAGAAGGAAGGGAUCCUUGGAUUCUAUGGCGAUUGCUGGAAGAUCUUCAACUCAUUGAACUCUCUGGAACUAAAGUCACUAGAAGAGCCUCUCUACCUUUUUGGACAGUUCUUUCAGAAGCCGCUUGAAUGCCUGACACUCGCUUAUUACUUGCCCCAAAAUGCUGGGGAUAUAGCUCGGAAGUACAUAAAGGAUCCUCAAUUAUUGUCCUUCAUUGAUGCAGAGUGUUUCAUUGUGAGCACAGUCAAUGCUUUGCAGACGCCGAUGAUCAAUGCAAGUAUGGUUUUAUGUGACAGGCACUAUGGAGGAAUUAACUACCCUGUUGGUGGUGUUGGUGGGAUUGCCAAGUCUUUGGCAGAAGGACUUGUUGAUCAAGGCAGUGAAAUACUCUACAAGGCUAAUGUGAAAAGUAUUAUACUUGAUGAUGGAAAGGCUGUCGGUGUAAGGCUAGCAGAUGGAAGAGAAUUUUUCGCUAAAACGAUAAUUUCAAAUGCUACAAGAUGGGAUACGUUUGGGAAGCUGUUAAAAGAAGAAAAACUUCCAAAAGAAGAAGAAAAUUUCCAGAAAGUCUAUGUCAAGGCUCCAUCAUUUCUUUCAAUCCACAUGGGUGUUAAAGCAGAGGUUCUCCCUCCAGAUACAGAUUGCCAUCAUUUUGUGCUUGAGGACAAUUGGAAGAAUCUGGAGGAACCUUAUGGCAGUAUCUUCCUCAGCAUUCCAACCAUUCUUGAUCCAUCCUUAGCCCCAAAUGGUCGACAUAUACUGCACAUAUUUACAACUUCUUCCAUCGAGGAUUGGGAGGGACUCCCUCCAAAAGAGUAUGAGGCGAAAAAAGAAGAUGUGGCUGCUGGGAUAAUAGAGCGGCUAGAGAAAAAACUGUUUCCAGGGCUCAGUUCAUCGAUAACGUUCAAGGAGGCAGGUGGGCACACCAAGAACACACAGGCGAUUUCUUGCUCGGGAUAAGGGAACAUAUGGGCCAAUGCCAAGAGGAACCCCAAAAGGUCUAUUGGGAAUGCCGUUCAAUACAACUGCUAUAGAUGGUCUAUACUGCGUUGGGGAUAGUUGUUUUCCUGGUCAGGGAGUUAUAGCUGUGGCUUUCUCAGGAGUGAUGUGUGCUCAUCGCGUAGCUGCUGACAUUGGGCUUGAGAAGAAAUCACGGGUACUUGAUGCUGGCCUUCUUCGUUUACUUGGCUGGCUAAGGACACUCGCAUAAUUCUAAGGAUGCAGGCGACAGAGCUAGGGAAGAUCAAUGGAAGUGUUAUGUAGUAGGAAUCAUAUAACACAAGUAAAUUCCUAUGCUGACACAUGUUUUGUCUUUUGAUCUUAUCUUUUAGUAUAUUAUUAAAGUCAAUUAUUCAGAGAGUUAGCUACU